ensembl:lncRNA
AACGCAACACCCUGCUACAACUAAACUCUCUGUGAAGCGAAAAGGUAUGGACUGUAGGUGCGAGUAAAAAUGACAACAAGCAGAAUGUGGUACCGAUUACAAGGACUUUAUUCCUUUACACGGUAAUAUGGGGGAAAAGGGGCUGGACAGAACCAAAGCAAAGAAAGUAAAUCUCAAAGCCCCCCUCUCUAUCUUACCUGCCUACCCACUACUUACCUAAUUUAGCACCACCUGGUGCCCUAACCAAAAUACAAGGGGUGGUCCGCCCAGGUCUUACCUAGUGUGCCUAGACAGCGAAUAUGCUACGGGUAUAUGUAUGCCCGCGGGCCUCUUGCCUAAGCACUCCCUAGGUGCCUUCCCCUUCCCCCCUGGGAACAAAUGAAACAGAAUAUUAAACAAUUUCACAAACAAACUAAGAGACAAAGGACAUCAAAUAAGUUCUAUCUGAGCAACAAACUCACAAAACAUACCAACUCUCAGCAAUGAACUCCCAGCAAAAUCAACCUCUAGCAAAAUCCUCUACAAAAUAUCUCUCUAGCAAAUUUACCUCCAGCAAAAUCCUCUACAAAAAAAGAGAAUCUUUUUUUCUGAACAGAACACUGGUUUUUAUAUAGCUUCUGAAGGAAUGGGUAAUUGGAGACAGCUGUGUCUUGACGAGGGGGCGGGGUCAGCUCUCCAAUUAGCCCUGGAGUCGACCAAUCAGCUGCUUGAGGGAUUUCAGGAAGCCAUUUCCUGAAAUAAACACAUGCAAAUACACAAACUACAACACAUAAUCUGGGGAACGUAACAAUGUCAUUAUUAUUAUUGCAGUGAGAUAGUCAAGGUAAAACAGUGUUUUGUUUUUCUUACAUAGGAAUUCACUCAUGGACCUGGUAUCUUAAUGUGAGUCAUGUAGUUGUGACUCAACAGAAAAAUAAUAACAGUUAUAAAAUUACAACAAAAAUUCAACUGUAAUUUAAAUAUUCCAAAGAUUUUCAAAACAUAUUUCAGUGCUGCUGUUAGAUUCAUAUCAACCAUUUAGGUGUUUGGCCUUUUGCGAUUAGUUUCGGAUGAUUUUGGCUUUGUUUUUUGUUUAUUACAUACAAUGUUUGUUCUUCGUGAUUAUUCUGAAGGUGCUCCAUAGAUUGCCAAGCCGAUAUAAUGGACAUUGUUUUAGAGGCAGAUGUACUACUGUGAUGUUGUUCACUACAGUUAGCUAGGUAGGUAGAUAUAUAGGCGGAUAGAUAUAAUUCUACAUUGAUUGUACACUAAAUACAGUUGUACAUUUGAUAUAGUCUAUUAUUAGAUGUAUUUUAAGGUGUGUAUAAUGUCUGCUGUUAACACCUCUGUAGCGGCUGAUGUCAGUGCAGUUGUACAUUUGUUCAUGAAUGGCUAGAUAAAUAGGUAGGUAGAUAAAUAGGUAGGUAGGUAGCUAGAUAUUGUAGGUAGGUAGCUAGAUAAAUAGGUAGGUAGCUAAAUAGGUAGGUAGGUAGGUAGGUAGAUAUUGUAGGUAGGUAGCUAGAUAUUGUAGGUAGGUGGGUAGAAAUUGUAAGUAGGUAGUUAGAUAUUGUAGGUAGGUAGAUAUUGUAGGUAGGUAGUUAGAUAUACUAGGUAGGAAGUUAGAUAUUGUAGGUAGGUAGUCAGAUACUGUAGGUAGGUAGGUAGAUAUUGUAGGUAGGUAUGUAGAUAUUGUAAGUAGGUAUGUAUAUAUCUUCUAGGUAGGUAGAUAUAUACAUAUUGCAGGUAAGUAGUACUCUAGGUAGAUAGAUAUUGUAGAUAGGUAGGUACUCUAGGUAGAUAGAUAUUGUAGGUAGAUAGGUACUCUAGGUAGAUAGAUAUUGUAGAUAGGUAGGUACUCUAGGUAGAUAGAUAUUGUAGAUAGGUAGGUACUCUAGGUAGAUAUAUAUUGUAGGUAGAUAGGUACUCUAGGUAGAUAGAUAUUAUAGGUAGAUAGGUAUUUUUGUAGUUUGAUGUUUACAAAUUAUAACGUCUACAUUUUGGAAUAGAAACAACAAGCCACUGAGAUGCUCAUCUCUUCUGCAGAAAACCUGCAUUGACUUAACUUAGCGUCCCGUCAACCUCACGAUAUUGGUUUAACUUCACAUCUGCUGAUGACACAUCCUGAAAGACAACCAGCUGGUUUUCCUCGGCGUGACAUCAUCAAACUGCAACAUACUCGGCUCGACCUCGAAAACACAGUGAUGAUUAGGUUGUCUGUCCUGCUACUGUACGACAGCGAAGUGAAAUGUAUUUAUUAAUUUGUUUCUUUAAUUUUUUGGGGGGGAGAGGGGACCUAUUUAUAUUUCGCAGAUUAAUUUGCUAGUGCAACCACUCUUUGGGUUCUUCACAGGUAAACAUAGAUCAACCGAUCAAUCCCCAAAGAAAGAACUAUGGCAGGUACUGUGGCAAAUUGACGAAUACGUUUAUAAAGCUACCAGCGAACUGUUAAAAAAAAAAAAUCUUAUUUCCAAAAGUUUGACUCUUCUAUACCUUAAAACAUCUGACCUGGCUAAAGGUUAGGAUGCCCCGGUGACUGGAAACACAAUGUAUUCUCCUUCAACAAAUACAACACUGGUAUGUAUCAAUAAACUGUUGCUUCAUUGAAAAUGCAUCUGAAUACAACAUUAUUUCAGCACAAGAUUGAUGGGAAUAAACACAGAUCUAUAUGAGCCAGGCUUCACCUCACCUUGCCCCCCGAGACAUACACUAUUACACACAUCACAUACAGUAAAGAAUAGGAAGGAGUAUAGGCUGGAGAUUAGGAAGGAGUAUAGGCUGGAGAUUAGGAAGUAUAGGCUGGAGAUUAGGAAGGAGUAUAGGCUGGAGAUUAGGAAGGAGUAUAGGCUGGAGAUUAGGAAGUAUAGGCUGGAGAUUAGGAAGGAGUAUAGGCUGGAGAUUAGGAAGGAGUAUAGGCUGGAGAUUAGGAAGGAAUAUAGGCUGGAGAUUAGGAAGGAGUAUAGGAAGGAGUAAAGGAAGGAGGAUAGGAAGGAUGGUUCAAGCCCUGAAUGCUGAUUGGCUGGCAGCCGUGGUAUGUCAGACCAGGUAUGACAAAAUGUAUUUUUACUGCUUGAAUUACGUUGGUAAUAUUAAUAAGGUACCUCGGGGGUGUGUGGUAUAUGGCCAAUAUAACACGGCUAAGGGCUGUAUCCAGGCACUCCACAUUGCGUUGUGCGUAAGAACAGCCCUUUAGCCGUGGUAUAUUGCCAUAUACCACAAACCCCCGAGGUGCCUUAUUGCUUAAGUAUAGGCUGGAGUUUCUAGUUAGGUGAAAUUAGAUCUAAAUUUACCUCUGGAUGACAGAAAGAGAAGACGACCUUCAUGCUGGAUCAGAGCCUGUCCCCUAUUCACCCACACCCCUAUCCAAAGUCAAAAGCAUUAUCUAUCUGCCUGAGUAGAAUGGAGUCAGUAGGGUAUCUGUAAGCAGAUUGUGUUCAUUACCUAGAGUAGUUAUUGAUUUUGGUAUCAGGGUUGGUUCCUCUACAGUCAAUGGAAGGCAGGGGAAGUAAAUCAAUCCUUGAAGAAGCACUAGAGGAUUCCGGUACAGCAGGGCCUAUACAGCUGACUGGUGGACAGACAUGUCUGCUUCAGAGAACAGGAGGGCUGCAUAUAACCCAUCACAUCACAAAUAACCAAGGCAGUAAAUGACUAAGGCAGUAAAUAACCAAGGCAGUAAAUGACCAAGGAAGUAAAUGAACAAGGCAGUAAAUGACCAAGGCAGUAAAUGAACAAGGCAGUAAAUGAACAAGGCAGUAAAUAACCAAGGCAGUAAAUGACUAAGGCAGUAAAUGAUUAAGGCAGUAAAUAACCAAGGCAGUAAAUGACCAAGGCAGUAAAUAACCAAGGCAGUAAAUAACAAAGGCAGUAAAUGACCAAGGCAUUUAAUAUUUUCCAGAUAAAACUACAUAACCCCUUUUUUCCCACUUGACUAACAAUGUAUCAGGUGUGUAUUCCUCUAAAUAUCCACCAUCUCCUCAUAUGAUGACAAUGAAAUUCAUAGUCAACCAUUUAAAAAGACUAGACCUACUGAUGUGACAAAGACUACAACAUGAAAAGACACAAACUCAUCCUCACUUGACUCAGCAAUGUACAGAGCCAUUUAUUUUCUCAAAGAAGUCCUUUCGGAAGAUGAAUUAUCAUGCCCUGUUUUCCUGUUUAAAGCUUUAGCCAAUGGUGGCCGGGCUGUUCUCCUGUUUAAAGCUUUAGCCAAUGGUGGCCGGGCUGUUCUCCUGUUAAAAGCUUUAGCCAAUGGUGGCCGGGCUGUUCUCCUGUUAAAAGCUUUAGCCAAUGGUGGCCGGGCUGUUCUCCUGUUAAAAGCUUUAGCCAAUGGUGGCCGGGCUGUUCUCCUGUUUAAAGCUUUAGCCAAUGGUGGCCGGGCUGUUCUCCUGUUAAAAGCUUUAGCCAAUGGUGGCCGGGCUGUUCU